rnacentral:rRNA from 1 species
UACGUAGGGUGCAAGCGUUGUCCGGAAUUAUUGGGCGUAAAGAGCUUGUAGGCGGUUCGUCGCGUCGGCUGUGAAAACCUGAGGCUCAACCUCAGGCCUGCAGUCGAUACGGGCGGACUUGAGUACUGCAGGGGAGACUGGAAUUCCUGGUGUAGCGGUGAAAUGCGCAGAUAUCAGGAGGAACACCGGUGGCGAAGGCGGGUCUCUGGGCAGUAACUGACGCUGAGGAGCGAAAGCGUGGGGAGCGAACAGG